GCCCAUGUAGCUCAGUUGGCAGAGCACAUCCUUGGUAAGGAUGAGGUCACCGGUUCAACCCCGGUCAUGGGCUCCA
rnacentral:tRNA from 3 species